AGACGGUUCACCUCACAAGACCGGGGUCAACCACGGCUACCAGCAUGAACGACGGCGCUUCAAUGCACAAUGAGGGACGUCUGCAGCGACUGAGAAAGAGUCUCACCACAUCCUGACAUGAGGAAAAAGACUUUAUUGAAGACUACAAUGAGAAAAACUAUCAGACAGCAGACGGCUGCAUUCAAGUCUGUAGCUGCUGAAUUCAUGGAUGAAUCAUCUGGCACUAGAGAAGAAGACCAUCAAACAUCCACGUCAGCUGAUGGAGGUCCAAGAGUCUCACCAAACAAACAACCUACAGAGUGAAGACCUCGAAUCUGAUUGGACGGCCUCCUAUUCAGCCACGUGUGAACAAAUGCCUCUAAGCUGAUUUGUUUUCUAAAAUAAAUCUAGUUUGUGUCCUAA